rnacentral:rRNA from 1 species
UACAGAGGUCUCAAGCGUUGUUCGGAUUCAUUGGGCGUAAAGGGUGCGUAGGCGGCGCGGUAAGUCGGGUGUGAAAAUUUCGAGGCUUAACUUCGAAACUGCAUUCGAUACUGCCGUGCUUGAGGACUGGAGAGGAGACUGGAAUUUACGGUGUAGCGGUGAAAUGCGUAGAUAUCGUAAGGAAGACCAGUGGCGAAGGCGGGUCUCUGGACAGUUCCUGACGCUGAGGCACGAAGGCCAGGGGAGCAAACGGG